rnacentral:rRNA from 1 species
AACGAACGCUGGCGGCAUGCCUAACACAUGCAAGUCGAACGAUACCUUCGGGUCUAGUGGCGCACGGGUGGGUAACGCGUGGGAACCUGCCCUUAGGUUCGGAAUAACUCCCCGUAAGGGGUGCUAAUACCGGAUAAUGUCUUCGGACCAAGGAUUUAUCGCCUUUGUCUGGGCCCGCGUUGGAUUAGCUAGUUGGUAGGGUAAAAGCCUGCCAAGGCGACGAUCCAUAGCUGGUCGGAGAGGAGGCACAGCCAAACUGGGACUGGGACACGGCCCAGACUCCUAGGGGAGGAAGGGGGGGGGAAUAUUGGACAGUGGCCGAAAGCCUGAUCGAGCAAUGCGGGGUGAGAAAUUAAGGCCUUAGGGUUGUAAGGCUCUUUUGCCCGGGAUGAUAAUGACAGUACCGGGAGAAUAAGCUCCGGCUAACUCCGUG